rnacentral:rRNA from 1 species
GCCAGCAGCCAUACCCUGCAACUCACAACUGGCAAACCACUGAAGCCCAGCAGGUGUGAGCCUGGUCAGUACCUGGAUGGGAGACCUCCUAGGAAAAACUAAGGUUGCUGCUGGAA